GAUGAACGCUGGCGGCGUGCCUAAUACAUGCAAGUCGGGCGAAUAGAUUAAGAGCUUGCUCUUAUGAAGUUAGCGGCGGACGGGUGAGUAACACGUGGGUAACCUGCCCAUAAGACUGGGAUAACUCCGGGAAACCGGGGCUAUUACCGGAUAACAUUUUGAACCGCAUGGUUCGAAAUUGAAAGGCGGCUUCGGCUGUCACUUAUGGAUGGACCCGCGUCGCAUUAGCUAGUUGGUGAGGUAACGGCUCACCAAGGCAACGAUGCGUAGCCGACCUGAGAGGGUGAUCGGCCACACUGGGACUGAGACACGGCCCAGACGCCUACGGGAGGAAGGAGUAAGGAAUCUUCCGCGAUGGACGAAAGUCUGACGGAGCAACGCCGCGUGAGUGAUGAAGGCUUUCGGGUCGUAAAACUCUGUUGUUAGGGAAGAACAAGUGCUAGUUGAAUAAGCUGGCACCUUGACGGUACCUAACCAGAAAGCCACGGCUAACUACGUGCCAGCAGCCGCAGUAA
rnacentral:rRNA from 1 species